rnacentral:rRNA from 1 species
CCUACGGGAGGCAGCAGUGAGGAAUAUUGGUCAAUGGGCGGAAGCCUGAACCAGCCAAGUAGCGUGCAGGAUGACGGCCCUACGGGUUGUAAACUGCUUUUAUACGGGAAUAACGCGCCUUACGUGUAGGGCUUUGCAUGUACCGUAUGAAUAAGGACCGGCUCAUUCCGUGCCAGCAGCCGCGCUAAUACGGAGGGUCCGGGCGUUAUCCGGAUUUCUGGGGUUUAAAGGGAGCGUAGGCCGCAUGUCAAGCGUGCUGUGAAAUGUCCGGGCUCCACCCGGGCCUUGCAGCGGGAACUGGCGGGCGGGAGUGCGCGGAGGGAAGGCGGAAGUCGGGGUGUAGCGGGG